GAAGUUGCUCUGAAAAAGACAAAGAAGAAACACAUGAAUGAAAACGAGUUUUUAAAAAAGAAGACAAAGAAAAGCAAUAAGAUCUAAACUUAAUACCUGGAGAAUAAUCUUAACAUUCUUAAGGACCAAGAAAGUGGAGUACUUCAAAGAUAGCAUGGGACAUGCCAUAAAUUAUACAAAGAACAACACCAAACGCAAGAAAAUAUCUUCAGUAUGCUUUUUGAGAAGAGAUGAGAAGACUUAGAAGACCCACCCUAUAUUUCAUUUGGGGGCAGGAGAAGUGUAAGUUCAGAAGCACAGUUUGGAAAAGAC